rnacentral:rRNA from 1 species
GAUGAACGCUGGCUACAGGCUUAACACAUGCAAGUCGAGGGGAAACGACGGGGAAGCUUGCUUCCCCGGGCGUCGACCGGCGCACGGGUGAGUAACGCGUAUCCAACCUGCCUCUGACUGAGGGAUAACCCGUCGAAAGUCGGCCUAAUACCUCAUGGCAUCGUCUGCGGGCAUCCAACGACGAUUAAAGAUUUCAUCGGUCAGGGAUGGGGAUGCGUCUGAUUAGCUUGUUGGCGGGGUAACGGCCCACCAAGGCUACGAUCAGUAGGGGUUCUGAGAGGAAGGUCCCCCACAGUGGAACUGAGACACGGUCCAAACUCCUACGGGAGGCAGCAGUGAGGAAUAUUGGUCAAUGGGCGGGAGCCUGAACCAGCCAAGUAGCGUGCAGGAUGACGGCCCUAUGGGUUGUAAACUGCUUUUAUGCGGGGAUAAAGUGAGGGACGUGUCCUUCAUUGCAGGUACCGCAUGAAUAAGGACCGGCUAAUUCCGUG